rnacentral:rRNA from 1 species
GACGAACGCUGGCGGCGUGCUUAACACAUGCAAGUCGAACGGAAAGGCCCUGCUUUUGUGGGGUGCUCGAGUGGCGAACGGGUGAGUAACACGUGAGUAACCUGCCCUUGACUUUGGGAUAACUUCAGGAAACUGGGGCUAAUACCGGAUAGGAGCUCCUGCUGCAUGGUGGGGGUUGGAAAGUUUCGGCGGUUGGGGAUGGACUCGGGGCUUAUCAGCUUGUUGGUGGGGUAGUGGCUGACCAAGGCUUUGACGGGUAGCCGGCCUGGGAGGGUGGCCGGGGACAUUGGGACUGAGAUACGGCCCAGAGUCCUACGGGAGGCAGCAGUGGGGAAUAUGACACAAUGGGGGGAAGCCUAAGGCAGCAACGCCGCGUGCGGGAUGAAGGCCUUCGGGUGGUAAACCGCUUUCGCCUGUGACGAAGCGUGAGUGACGGUAAUGGGUAAAGAAGCACCGGCUAACUACGUG